rnacentral:rRNA from 1 species
ACGCUCGACACCUACGGAGGCAGCAGUGGGGAAUAUUGCACAAUGGGGGAAACCCUGAUGCAGCGAUGCCGCGUGAGGGAAGAAGUAUCUCGGUAUGUAAACUUCUAUCAGCAGGGAAGAAAAUGACGGUACCUGACUAAGAAGCCCCGGCUAACUACGUGCCAGCAGCCGACGGUAAUCUGAGGCGGGCUGGCAAGGC